UGUGUGUGUGUGUGUGUGUGUGUGUGUGUGUGUGUGUGUGUUCUGUCUCUGUAUGUGUGUGUGUUCUCAGUGUAUGUUGUGUGUGUGUGUGUGUGUGUGUGUGUUCUGUCUCUGUAUGUGUGUGUGUGUUCUGAGUGUGUGUGUGUGUGUCUCUGCGUGCGUGUGAAGAAAACAGAGUCCCCUUCGCUGGGAUAAUAUCUUGGCUCCAGCUUGUACAUAUUAGAUGAAUGGCUCUGAAAGCCCUCUCUAGGUUACAAGAUUAAUUGCCAGUGUCUUGAACAGGAUUUAUGAAUUAUGACGGUAUUCUUGAAAAGAAUGUGAAAGUUAAUUUGUCAUGAAAUCCAAUCACACGAGAGAAGGCAUGGUGUAGAGGACCGGACCCACAGUGAAUGAAUUCCCUUUGCAUCAGCUGAGUACAUGUAGAGAAAUGUUAACGCAAGUGUCCGAAUACAACAGGUAUUUCACCUUACAGUGAAAUGCUUACUUACAGGCUCUAACCAAUAGUGCAAAAAAGGUAUUAGGUGAACAAUAGGUAAGUAAAGAAAUAAAACGACAGUAAAAAGACAGGCUAUAUACAGUAGCGGGACUAUAAAAGUAGCGAGGCUACAUACAGACACCGGUUAGUCAGGCUGAUUGAGGUAGUAUGUACAUGUAGAUAUGGUUAAAGUGACUAUGAAUAUAUGAUAAACAGAGAGUAGCAGUAGCGUAAAAGAGGGGUUGGUGGGUGGUGGGACACAAUGCAGAUAGCCCGGUUAGCCAAUGUGCGGGAGCACUGGUUGGUCGGGCCAAUUGAGGUAGUAUGUACAUGAAUGUAUAGUUAAAGUGACUGUGCAUAUAAGAUAAACAGAGAGUAGCAGCAGCGUAAAAGAGGGGUUGGGGGGCCAUUUGGUUACCUGUUCAGGAGUCUUACGGCUUGGUGGUAAAAACUGUUGAGAAGCCUUUUUGUCCAAGACUUGGCACUCCGGUACCGCAUGAAGACAUGUAUGUAUGUUGUUGUGUGAUGCUACACUUGUCAAAUCUAAGUGCCAACAUGCGGUUUCUGCCAAGACUACUUUAGUCAGAGAAAGAAAUGAAAUGGGAAAAGCCCAAUAGCCUAGCCCAGGAAAUAUCUGGUUCCAAUACCCUCUUUAUUAAUA
rnacentral:lncRNA from 1 species